rnacentral:rRNA from 1 species
ACUCAAAUGAAUUGACGGGGGCCCGCACAAGCGGUGGAGCAUGUGGUUUAAUUCGACGCAACGCGAAGAACCUUACCUGGGCUCGAACGGCCUCUUAACGUUUGUGGAAACACAGAUAUCCCGCAAGGGAGUGGGGUCGAGGUGCUGCAUGGCUGUCGUCAGCUCGUGUCGUGAGAUGUUGGGUUAAGUCCCGCAACGAGCGCAACCCUUGUCCUGUGUUGCUAAUUUCGAAAGGAAUGCACUCUCAGGAGACCGCCAGCGAUAAGUUGGAGGAAGGUGGGGAUGACGUCAAGUCAUCAUGGCCUUUAUGUCCAGGGCUACACACGUGCUACAAUGGACGGUACAAACCGACGCCAACCCGCGAGGGGGAGCAAAUCGGAAAAAACCGUUCUCAGUUCGGAUCGCAGGCUGCAACUCGCCUGCGUGAAGCUGGAAUCGCUAGUAAUGGUAUAUCAGAACGAUACCGUGAAUACGUUCCCGGGCCUUGUACACACCGCCCGU